UCAUUGAUGAGGAAUGCUUGGAACGAGUUUUCAGACCCAAUAUAUGAACAUGCAUGGACCAACCUUAGCCAAACUCUGAUCGCAUACAUGACCUCCACCAACUGCCACAGACUUGCUGCUUGGCUGUGGAGUUAAAAACUUGACUCAAAUGGACUUAACCUCUGCUUUCACGAGCGCAUGCAUUUGUGGCUAUUACUGUGGUUAUUCCCAAAAAAAUGCUUCAGUUAAAAUGGGAUCAGGAAAUACACCUUGUAUCCUUAUAAUGGACUAAUGAGAAAAAACAAAUCUUUCCUUUCUUAUAAUACUCUCUUCUCUGCUAUUUUUCAUUUCUUCUGCUAAUGGCAAUGGUUUUUACUUUCUAUCACACUCAUAUAUCAAAGUGUGCUUAAGGAGCCACACAUUACACAACAGUAACCAACCGUACAAGAAGCUGACACAAGAAGAUGACCAUGAGUUUAAGGCCAGCCUGGGCAAUACAGAAAGUUCCAGGCUAGGCGGGGACACUUAGCAAGACUCUGUCUCAAAACAAACACACAAGCAAACAGCAUAUACAAGACUAGAAAUAGCAAUUUACUGUGUUAGAAAUAUUUAGUAUUGUUUGGGAGCAGCUAGCCUUUCCUUUAAUAUUGAUAAAUAUUUUAAAAUUUGAAUGUAAAUAUUUUAACCCCCAAAAUGAGAUUAGAAAAAUUUAAAGACAAGAUGAUUAUACUAUCUAUAUUAUAUCAUUCAAUCUUGUUUUAAGGAAAUCAUGCCUAAGAUAAUUGUAGCCAUCAAUAUAUAUAUGCCUUAAUCUGUAAUUCUUAGAUGAUUUCAUUGGGCAGUGAUUAAGAGACUUCUAAUAACUCUGAGCUACUGCAGAUAAUUGUGGAAAUGAACUUAUAAUAAUAGACUGGCUUGUUCUUUACUGUAUUCCUGUGAGAGGCAAUUUCUUCGGCUUUCCUUUUAAACUUAAUAAAUUCAGGAGUGAAAGUGAAACUGUAGUGUGGAAUUUGCCUCAAUGAUUUUGGGUGAAUAUUCUUCCGCUAGUCAUAGGCUAGAAUUUUCACUGUGGCUUAUUACAUAUUCCAAGAUGUCUAGAUCUCCAGUGACAAUAAAUGAUACAGGCUCCAUUUUGAGAAAGCAGAUCGUGUCAUGUGCUAAUCAAAGCACACAGGAUGGGUUGUGCACACUUUAGUACCAGCACACUGCAUAAUGUGCAGAUGAGCUGGUGUUUUGUAGAUUGUUCCCCGCUACAUUUAAUGUAUGCUGCAGCAAAGUCUCACCACUAUUCCAGAGAUCACAAAAGGAACUCUAAGUUAGGAUAUUGCUCUCAAAGUGAUUCUGUUUGCUCUUUGUCUGUACAUUUAGGUUGCUGGAUCUUUGAACUUAAUGCAAAGCACAUUUCCAGACUUGCCUAUCUUAACUGAAGUGUUUACAAAUACCUAAAUUAGAAGAGCUAAAGGCAGCCUGACCUCAUUUCUGGAUGGUCAUGGGGCUAUGGCUUUAUUGACUGUUUUGACUUCUUAGCUACUUUUAUUUCCCUUGCCAAACAUUUUACAAGACAUGCUAAUGAGAAAUGAAAUGGCCAUAAGGCUGAAAGCCAGAGGAAAUCCAUGAUAAGCAGAGAGCUGAAUGGUAUACAAAAGCAGCCACCAGCAAAUGAAGCAGAGUUUCUUCAACUACUUUUGAACCAUGCAUCAGGUUUGGUAGCAUAUUAUUCUCCCCAGAAUUGUAUUAGGAAGGAGCACAGACCCUGAUAAUGAUCUGUAGAGGCUUAGAAGAAGCAGGCUUAUUUUUCAUUCAUUCAUUCAUUCAUUCAUUCAUUCAUUCCUAAAUCAUUCCUAUAACUUAGUAAAAGAUAGGGGGCUGGAAGUUUUGUAGAAUAUAAUGUUUCUAUGCCACAAGUAAAGCUUGCAUUUCUUCUUGAAACUUGUCAAACUAAGGCUUAGCUAAGAUUUGGAAAAAGCAAGAUAUAUGGUUAAAUUAAAGGAAUACAUUGAUAUGGCCCUAAAAGAAUAUAAAUAAACUGAAGCUUUAAUUGAAAUAGGCCAAUGUAUCAGUUGAUAGUAAUAUAUGU
rnacentral:lncRNA from 1 species